rnacentral:rRNA from 1 species
UGAAACCGUGUACGUACAAGCAGUGGGAGCACAGGUUUACCUGUGUGACUGCGUACCUUUUGUAUAAUGGGUCAGCGACUUAUAUUCUGUAGCAAGGUUAACCGAAUAGGGGAGCCGGAGGGAAACCGAGUCUUAACCGGGCGUUAAGUUGCAGGGUAUAGACCCGAAACCCGGUGAUCUAGCCAUGGGCAGGUUGAAGGUUGGGUAACACUAACUGGAGGACCGAACCGACUAAUGUUGAAAAAUUAGCGGAUGACCUGUGGCUGGGGGUGAAAGGCCAAUCAAACCGGGAGAUAGCUGGUUCUCCCCGAAAGCUAUUUAGGUAGCGCCUCGUGAAUUCAUCUCCGGGGGUAGAGCACUGUUUCGGCUAGGGGGCCAUCCCGGCUUACCAACCCGAUGCAAACUGCGAAUACCGGAGAAUGUUAUCACGGGAGACACACGGCGGGUGCUAACGUCCGUCGUGAAGAGGGAAACAACCCAGACCGCCAGCUAAGGUCCCAAAGUCAUGGUUAAGUGGGAAACGAUGUGGGAAGGCCCAGACAGCCAGGAUGUUGGCUUAGAAGCAGCCAUCAUUUAAAGAAAGCGUAAUAGCUCACUGGUCGAGUCGGCCUGCGCGGAAGAUGUAACGGGGCUAAACCAU